UCCCUGGUGGCUCAGACGGUAAAGCAUCUGCCUACAGUGCAGGAGACCUGGGUUCAAUCCCUGGGUUGGGAA
rnacentral:tRNA from 1 species